rnacentral:tRNA from 1 species
ACCUGGGUGGCUCAGUUGGUUGAGCAUCUGACUUCAGCUCAGGUCAUGAUUCCACAUCUGUGGGUUCGGGCCUCACGUCAGGCU